UUAAUUUGAAAAAGCUAUAAUUGCCCAGGGAUUUCUUUGUUCGGGGUCCCUCUUCGGAGGCACCCAGCUCGAGCUGUAACUACUGCACGCGUGUCGUUGCCUUGAUUUGGCUCCGAACUUUUCAGCGGGAACCUAGGGUCGGACCCUGCUUGAGUUGUAAUUACUGCACAUGCAUCGCUAAAAUUUACACCCAGGGUGAAGAGGACCAACGGGAUGCCGCUGGAUCCACGGAUUCCUAGCUGGCUAAUGAGUUGAGGCCCUGCCCAUGUGCUACUGGAGACAGGUUUGACUAUGAGGUUUGUGGGCAGGAAGUACAAGUCGAACACAUCAAGGCGUAUGUUUGCAAACCAUCUGGCAAAUCAGACAAAGCUGUGGUUGUGAUUCAUGAUAUAUUUGGAUGGCAACUCCCAAACACCAGAUACAUAGCUGAUCUGCUCACAGCUAAUGGAUACAUAGAAGCUGAUGCUGUCUGGAAAUAUCUAAAGGAACAGUGUGGUAGAAAGAAAUUAGGAGUCAUUGGUUUUUGCUGGGAUGGUAUUGCUAUACGUCACCUGAUGAUGACAUAUCCACAAUUAAAGGCUGGUGUAUCUCUCUAUGGACUAAUCAAGGAUUCUGAUGAUGUAUCCAACCUGCUGAACCCUACAUUUUUCAUUUUUGCUGAAAAAGAUGAAUUAAUUCCCCUUGGUCAAUCACCUAGAAAUAAGUGGGAGUAAAGAAGAUGGAACCAGACUCUUCUCGGUGGCAUUGAGUGAAAGGACAAGAGGCAAUGGGCACAAACUGGAAUACAGGAAAUACCACUUAAAAGUCACCUUACUGGAGCAGAAGCUAAAGCAAAAUUGUAAAGUUGAUUAUGAAGUUAAAAUUUAUCCAGAACAAACUCAUGGUUUUGUACAUCGCAAAAGAGAAGAUAUCAACCCUCAGGAUAAACCUUGUAUUGAGGAAGGAAGAAAGGAUAUGAUCAACUGGCUGAAUAAAUACAUUUAAUAGAAGAGCAAGCAACUUGAAUUAGUAACAAUUACAUAAUAUAUUGUGAAGAUUUUAGAUUUCAAAUUAAAUAUACCAUCAAAGAAAUGUACCUCGUGGUGCGUCUCA